rnacentral:lncRNA from 1 species
CCUACACACUCUUAAUAAGACAAACCACAAUUAAAAACUCUACAAGGUGUGUUAUUUCUACAAUCUUUGGUAGGACAAAUUAGCCUACAUGCAACAUAAAACAUAACUUGCAUUUAAAUUUAGAUGCCAACAUCCAAUAUAUGCACAUUACUUGGUGAAGGUUAUUUUUCCAUUGUGCAAACAUGGUUAUUAGUCAUGAGCAUAUGUAGGUUCACUACCGGCCCAUGCCAAAUUAGAUUU